rnacentral:rRNA from 1 species
UACGUAGGGUGCGAGCGUUGUCCGGAUUUAUUGGGCGUAAAGAGCUCGUAGGCGGCUUAGUAAGUCAGGUGUGAAACCUCCAGGCUCAACCUGGAGACGCCACCUGAUACUGCUAUGGCUUGAGUUCGGCAGGGGACCAUGGAAUUCCUGGUGUAGCGGUGAAAUGCGCAGAUAUCAGGAGGAACACCGAUGGCGAAGGCAGUGGUCUGGGCCGAUACUGACGCUGAGGAGCGAAAGCGUGGGGAGCGAACAGG